UGUCAUUGUAAUCUCACCACCAUUGACUUUGGUCUUUUGGUAUGUGGACUUGGAUGUUGCCGUCGAUGUCUACGGCUCGUCUGAAAUGCUUCAGUGUACCCCGCUUUGCGGCGUAUUCGGUGUGAUACAUCUUCACCGGAGUUGAUCCUUUUGGGGGUCGCGUCUGUAAUGUGUGGCUCUAUGCUUCCAACCGUCUCUCGAGACAAUCUCUGACAAUUUGACCUCAAAUCGGGUGGGACUACCCGCUGAACUUAAGCAUAUCAAUAAGCGGAGGAAAAGAAACUAACAAGGAUUCCCCUAGUAACGGCGAGUGAAGAGGGAAAAGCUCAAAUUUUGAAUCUGGUGUCUUUGACUCCCGAGUUGUAAUCUAGAGAAGUGUUUUCCGUGUCGGACCGUGCACAAGUUCCCUGGAACGGGGCGUCRUAGAGGGUGAGAAUCCCGUAUAUGGCACGGACUGCCGAUGCUUUUGUGAUACACUCUCAACGAGUCGAGUUGUUUGGGAAUGCAGCUCAAAAUGGGUGGUAAAUUCCAUCUAAAGCUAAAUAUUGGCGAGAGACCGAUAGCGAACAAGUACCGUGAGGGAAAGAUGAAAAGCACUUUGGAAAGAGAGUGAAACAGUACGUGAAAUUGUUGAAAGGGAAGCGUUUGAAGUCAGUCGUAUCUGGCGGGAUUCAGCUGGGCUUUUGCCCGGUGUACUUCUCGUCCGAUGGGUCAGCAUCAAUUUCGACCGGGGGAAAAAGAUGUGGGGAAUGUGGCUGUCUUCGGGCAGUGUUAUAGCCCCAUGUUGUAUGCCUCGGUUGGGAUUGAGGAACGCAGCGCGCCUAUAGGCCAGGGGCUACCCGCCUCUUGACACGYGCUUAGGAUGCUGGCAUAAUGGCUUUAAGCGACCCGUCUUGAAACACGGA
rnacentral:rRNA from 1 species